AUGGACCCUUGGUACAAGGGGUUCAAGGGCUCUGUGAAGAAUGCAAGAGCAAAGGCAGCUGGUGUCACGUAUACCAUCACUGGUGUUAUAGAGGAAGUCAAUGGCACCAAGCUUAAAAUUACUGAGCUUCCCGUCCGCAGCUGGACUGUCGAUUACAAAGAAUUUCUUGAAUCCAUGUGUCCUCAAAGUGAACAGGAAAAUGGCAAUGAGAAGAACAAAGGCAAGGGCAAGGUCAAGGUCAAAGAGCCACCCUUUCUAGAGAAAAUUAGAUCACAAUGUGAUCAUGCGAAUGUGGAGUUUGAGGUGAUCUUGAGUGAGCAAAACAUGAAUAUUGCUAAGAAACAAGGCCUUGAGAACAAAUUCAAGCUGACAGCCACAAUAAAAACAACAAACGUGAACUUGUUUGACUCGGAUGGUAGAAUUCGAACAUAUGGCACCCCAGAGGACAUACUUAAAGAGUUCUUCCAACUGAGGCUCGAAUUCUACGCCAGAAGAAAGGCAAUAAUGUUGCAAAAUAUAGGGAACGAGAUAUUGAAGCUUAAGAACAGAGUGAAAUUUAUUCUUGCUGUUAUCUCUGAGGACAUCAUAGUCAGUAACAGGAAGACGGCAGAGCUUUUCCUCGAGCUUAAGCAGAAGGGGUAUGAACCUUUCACAGAGAAUUUUUCUAUGUCCGAGCCGGUUCCCGUAGGAGGUACAGAAGAAGUAGAUGAAGAAAAUGAAGAGAGUCCUGCUGAAGGUGCAGCAGGAGUUACGGCGAGCGAUUAUCAGUAUCUUCUCGCAGUCGCAAUUUUUACCUUUACUGAGGAGAAGGCACAGGAGCUCAUCGCACAAAUGAAUAAAUUAGAGGCCGAAUCUGAAAGUCUGGGCAAAGCAACUCCAGAAAUUCUUUGGCUGGGAGAACUUGAUGCCCUUGAAAAGGAACUGGACGUGCUUGAUGGAAAUUUUGAAGAUUUAGAUGAGGAGACAACACGUAAGCCAGGAAAAAACUCCAAAGGCGAGAAGGCUUAUCAUCCUGACUUGUCUCCAGAACAUAGUGGAAGUCCUGCUGCCGAGAAGCCAAAGACUACCAUCAGGAAGAGGGCGCCUGCUCGGAGCAAAGAUAUAUUCAAGCCUACUGGCGACAGCAAUUCCAGAGCUCCUUCUCCUGAGAAGAAGGUGCGAAAGCUGAGGAUCUCCCUCUUCAACAAAAAGAGCGGCUCGGUUUCACAGAGGGUCGCGAGCGCUUCAGCAGGAGCAGAAGAUGCCGAGGCUCAGCCAGUUACACCGAGAAGGGCGGCAAGGGAGGGGAAGGCGAAAGCAAUCUGCAUCGAUUCCGGGAGCGACGAUGAUGUCUAG
rnacentral:rRNA from 1 species